AGCGGGUCUGGAGCUGGCGAGACGGCCAGGGCCGGCGAGCGCGGUGCAGCGCCGCGCGGUGCGGGCGGCCGGGUGGGGGCGUCAUGGAGGAUGAGCGGAGCUUUUCGGAUAUCUGCGGCGGCCGCCUGGCGCUGCAGCGCCGCUACUACUCCCCGUCCUGCCGGGAAUUCUGCCUCAGCUGCCCUCGGCUCUCGCUGCGUUCGCUCACCGCUGUCACCUGCACGGUGUGGCUGGCGGCCUACGGACUCUUCACCCUCUGCGAGAACAGCAUGAUCCUCUCUGCUGCCAUCUUCAUCACCCUCUUAGGUCUGCUUGGUUAUCUCCAUUUUGUGAAGAUUGAUCAGGAGACUCUGUUAAUCAUUGAUUCCCUUGGCAUUCAGAUGACUUCAUCUUAUGCUUCAGGCAAAGAAAGCACUACCUUCAUAGAAAUGGGCAAGGUCAAGGAUAUUGUCAUCAAUGAGGCCAUUUACAUGGUAAGUGUUUAAAAGGUAAGUAUUACAGGCCUCUCUGGAGGAGGUAGCCAGCCCAUGGGAUGUUCUCAGAUUUAAACUAAAACCCUAAAAGUGAGACUUAUAUUUAAAAGGUAAAUCUCUUUAUUUUUAAAGAGAUGCAGCAGGUUUUCAUGGAUAGGGAAUUAGCAUUUCAACUUUAUCUUCAAGACCAACUUCAAAAUUAUCACUGGCAUUUUUUCCUUCUCUUUCUAUCUUUUUUCUUUUUUUUUUUUGAGACAGGGUCUCACUCUGUUGCCCAGGCUGGAGUGCAGUGGCUCGAUCACAGCUCACUGCAGCCUCAACUUCCCAGGCUCAAGCCAUUCUCCCACCUCAGCCUCCUGAGUAGCUGGGACUACAGGCAUGCACCACCAUGCUUGGCUCGUUUUUUCUAUUUUUUGCAGAGAUGCAGUCUCACUAUGUUGCCUAGGCUGGUCUUGAAUUCCUGGGCUCAAGCCAUCCUCCUGCUGUGG
rnacentral:sRNA from 1 species